ACUAAUGCUUAAAAUUAUUGAGCAAAAGGCAACUGUUAAAAAUGAAAAAGAUUUUAAGCUCUUGCUUGAACUAGUUGAUUCAUAUCGAGAAUUAAACUAUUCAAAAAAGAGGAAAAAGCGUACAUUGACCCUGUAGAGACUACACGUCGGUCUCCCGAUCAAAAUCGGGAUGGUGGUAUAGUCCGACACCUUUAGUAAUAGAGGA
rnacentral:autocatalytically_spliced_intron from 1 species